ACUCAAAUGAAUUGACGGGGGCCCGCACAAGCAGCGGAGCAUGUGGUUUAAUUCGAAGCAACGCGAAGAACCUUACCUGGGCUUGACAUGUGCCUGACCGCCGUGGAAACACGGCUUCCCUUCGGGGCAGGUUCACAGGUGGUGCAUGGCUGUCGUCAGCUCGUGUCGUGAGAUGUUGGGUUAAGUCCCGCAACGAGCGCAACCCUCGUCGUAUGUUGCCAGCAUUUAGUUGGGGACUCAUGCGAGACUGCCGGUGACAAACCGGAGGAAGGCGGGGAUGACGUCAAGUCAUCAUGCCCCUUAUGUCCAGGGCUACACACGUGCUACAUUGGCGCGUACAGAGGGCAGCGAUACCGCGAGGUGGAGCGAAUCCCACAAAGCGCGUCUCGGUUCGGAUUGUAGGCUGAAACUCGCCUACAUGAAGGUGGAGUUGCUAGUAAUCGUGGAUCAGCACGCCACGGUGAAUACGUUCCCGGGCCUUGUACACACCGCCCGU
rnacentral:rRNA from 1 species